GUGAUAGCAUAUCAAUAAGCGGAGGAAAAGAAACCACAGGGAUUGCCCUAGUAACGGCGAGUGAAGCGGCAACAGCUCAAAUUUGAAAUCUGGCCCUUGGGUCCGAAUUGUAAUUUGUAGAGGAUGAUUUUGGUGCGGUACCUUCCGAGUUCCUUGGAACAGGACGCCUUAGAGGGUGAGAGCCCCGUACGGUUGGAUACCUAGCCUCUGUAAAUCUCCUUCGACGAGUCGAGUAGUUUGGGAAUGCUGCUCUAAAUGGGAGGUAAAUUUCUUCUAAAGCUAAAUACUGGCCAGAGACCGAUAGCGCACAAGUAGAGUGAUCGAAAGAUGAAAAGCACUUUGAAAAGAGGGUUAAAUAGCACGUGAAAUUGUUGAAAGGGAAGGAUUUAUGACCAGACUUUUUCUGGGCAGAUCAUCCGGUGUUCUCACCGGUGCACUUUGCCCAGUUUAGGCCAGCAUCGAUUUCCGGAGGGGGAUAAAAGCUUUAGGAAUGUGGCUCCCUCGGGAGUGUUAUAGCCUAUUGUAUAAUACCUUUCUGGGGAUCGAGGUACGCGCUUCUGCAAGGAUGCUGGCGUAAUGGUUAUCAAUCACCCGUCUUGAAACACGGACCAAGGAGUCGAACAUUUGUGCGAGUGUUUGGGUGUUAAACCCUCACGCGUAAUGAAAGUGAACGGAGGUAAGAGCCCUUACGGGUGCAUUAUCGACCGAUCCUGAAGUUUUCGGAUGGAUUUGAGUAGGAGCAUAAAUGUUCGGACCCGAAAGAUGGUGAACUAUGCGUGGAUAGGGUGAAGCCAGAGGAAACUCUGGUGGAGGCUCGCAGCGGUUCUGACGUGCAAAUCGAUCGUCAAAUCUGCGCAUGGGGGCGAAAGACUAAUCGAACCAUCUAGU
rnacentral:rRNA from 1 species